rnacentral:pre_miRNA from 3 species
UCUUAUGCAUGGGCAAGGAAAGUGGUUUCUUGAGAUGGCAACUACUCCUGGUGAAGAUGCUGUGAA